CUUUCAGAAUUUAACACUACAUAUUUCUUGAUCACACUACCGACCGUUGAAGUGUAUUUAAAUGAAGUUAAACAGCUCCACAGUUGAGGCUUCAAUAAUUUUCCUUAAGUCAUCAUCAAUUUUUGAGUUUAUAAAAUUUAGAUGAUGUACCAAGAAAUGGCAUAUCUAUAUAUAUAUAUAAUUUUUUGUCCCAUAGUCCCCCACUACUAUAUAUAUCGUGAAACGUCAUAUCGGUGUAUUUUAUUUUUUUUUAUCCAUUCGGUUUUUUUUAAGCAUAACAUAAUAUAGCGUAUUUGUAGUUUUUCUAAUAUAGAAUAUUCUUUCUUUAAAUAUUCCUCCGCUCUUUUGUCCUUUUAUCUUUUUCUAGUUGUUCAUCUACAGAUAUAUCUUUCAACACAAUAGUUAUAUGACAGGUGGAUCUUCUUAUCGGAUAACCCGGCCCUCGAGCUCGGGGUUUUAAUUUUUUCACAGUCGUGCCCUCGUUGACUUCAGCUUUACUAAUGAUUAAACUUGUUUCAUUCAAACCUUUAUUGUGAUUAGCGUUUGCUGCUACAGAAUAAACCAAUUUUAAAAUGUCAUAACAUGCUCGAUAAGGCAUGAGUUCUAGUAUCAUAAGUGUUUCUUCAUAGGAACGCCCACGAAUUUGAUCAAUUACUCUUCUCGCUUUGUGAGCAGAAAUACAUAGAUGUUGGCCUGAAGCGGCUACUUCUGUAUAUUGGUUCGGCUUUCUGUUCUUUUUCUCCAUAAUUAUAAGGUUCACCUCUCAUUAAUAAACGAUAAGCAUUUAUAUUCACUUUUAUUAUUUUUAUUAUUUAUUAAUUAGAAUUAAUAAAUUAUUAACUUAUUAACGCCGAGAUCUAUUAUCACCUUUCGCAUGCCCCCGGAAAUUUAGAGUCGGUGAAAAUUCUCCCAAUUUAUGUCCUACCAUACGAUCUGUUAUAUAAAUAGGCAAAUGCUCCCUUCCAUCAUGGAUAGCAAUAGUAUGCCCGAUCAUUGUAGGUAUAAUGGUAGACGCUCGAGACCAAGUUAUUAUUAUUUCCUCUUCUGCUUUUGUGUUAAGUUUAUUUAUUUUUCCUAAUAAAUGAUUUGCUACAAAAGGAUUUUUUUCAGUGAACGUGUCACAAUUAAUUACUACAUGUUUUCAUUCUUUUUUUUUUUUUAAGACGAAGAAACAAAUUCUAUUAUCUCGCUUAUUUACUACGGCGACGAAGAAUCAAAUUAUCACUAUAUUUAUUUCUUUUUCUACUUCUUCUUCCAAGUGCAGGAUAACCCCAAGGGGUUGCGGGUUUUUUUCUACCAAUUGGGGCCCUCCCUUCACCACCCCCAUGGGGAUGGUCUACAGGGUUCAUAACUACUCCUGUUACUUCAGGAUGCUUACCUAGCCAACAUUUAGCUCCGGCUUUACCCAAACUUUUCUGGUUCACUCCAACAUUCCCCACUUGUCCGACUGUUGCUGAGCAGUUUUUGGAUAUCAAACGGACCUCCCCAGAAGAAGGUGCAAAGGCUGCUUUGAGUCUUGCUGGGACAAUACUUGGAUGAGGGUGUUGCCUUCUAUCACAGCUAUUGCACAUACAUGCCUGCAAUUUGCUUCGACAAGGAAUGAAACAAAUAAUAAUGAACUCAGAAACCCAUGAAGCUAAAGCAUUGGAGAAGGUGGAGGAUAAGUAAUGAGAACUCUGAAGCAUUGGCUUUUAUCAUUGAUGAGAGUUCACUCGCUUACACUAUAGAGGCAUAAGCGAUGGAGGAGGUUUCUGAGAAUCUGAAGAAACAAUUGAACAAGUUAGUGCUAGAUGAUGAAAUUAAACUUCUCCUGUAAAAGAUAUUGUAAACAUAGACACAGCAAGGUGCUCUGAUAGGGGCUAAGUAGCACCGAUACGGGUACGAGUAUCCGGAUACGAUGCAGUACGAUACGUGGAUACGGCAAAUUCAAAAUAUUUUAGGAUACGGGUACGAGAUGGAUACGUUAAUUAAAUAUAUAUAUAUAUAUAUAUUAAUUUUUAAAAUAUAAAUAAAACAUGUAUAAUAUAGAGAAAGAAAUUAACCACGGUCUCUAAUAGUAAUCCUUCAUAACUAGACUAAUAGUAUCGUAUGCCAUAUAUAGAGGUCAGUUUUCCUCAUCAUCAAUUAAUAGUUUAAUACACACCAAGCUAGCCACCAAGAAUACAUAUCUCAUUGAUUGUCCUCCAUAUAAAAAAUAAAUAAAUAAAUACAUUUAUAAGUCCAUAUAUAGGUGGAGCAUCUAACUAAACGUCAUUAAAUGGAUAAGGUCAAUUGAUAUUCAAUUUAGGGAUGAGAUGAUGGCCUCUGAGAAAGUAGAUUUGGCCUUCCUCCCGUUCUAUUUUGCAAGCUGCAAUCAUGGAUUCCUCAAACUCAAUUGAUAUUCAAUACUGCAAGUCUGCAAUCAUGGAUUCCUCAAGGUCUUUGACGACCAGGCUCUUUCUCUCCCUCUCCAAGAAGAGGAACAGAAGCUCCAACGAAGGAGGAGAAGAAGAGGAGAGGAGAAGAGACGAGAAGAGGAGAGAAGAGAAGCACGUACUGGAAGAGAAGAGAAGCGGCUGCUGCAGAUAGUUUGGGGUUAAUGGCUAAUGCUGAACUUCAAUUCAAAAUGGCAAUGAGGGAUAAAGUCAUUGACACGGAAGGCGGUGAGAAACAUAUGAGACUUGUUGAUGAUUAGUUACUCAAUAUAACCGAACAAUCAUGCACCUCUGCGAAGUUUAGAAAAACCAGAGUAAUGUAGGUGAAAGUGCGGAGAUUUUUUGUUAGAUUAAGGAAACAUAUAUGUUGAGAAUAUAUACAUCCCACAUGGGAAAAAUGGGACCUUGCCUAUGGGUUUAUAAGGGUUUGGGCCACUCCAUCCAUUGCCAAUUGGUUUUGGAUGUGAACCCCAGAUUACUUUAUCAUG